UUCUCAAUCUUUCAUAUCCCCCAGCUUUCUCGUCUCUAUUAUCUUUGAACCGUAGAACAAAUUUUUCCAUUUUAACAAGUGGCUGACCUCCCAAACAUCACCAAAAGCUAACCAUACUUUCCCCAUGAUCCUCUAAGCUUUAUGCUAGUUUAAAUCUUUCCAAAUUCCCCUCUCCCCCUUUGAAUCCAGUCAAUCUGGAUUUAAAAGAAGGAAAAAGAAGAAAAAGUAUAAAACACCUCAAAGUCAUCGAGUCUGAGAGGAUGAUUAGGGCUGAAAUUUCCCUUGUGGUUUGCUCUCAACGGGAACAAUCCAUUGAGGAAAAUUUUGGAUCGAAUCAAAGUCUGUAUGAGUUCAUCAAGCCUCGUCUGCAUACUUAUGUAUGUAUCCCCAUUUCUCCCUCAUUCUUCUCCGUUUCAUUUGUUGCUUUUUCUUGCCACAUCCCCCUCUGUUGCUUUUUUUAUGGUCCAUUUUGUUUACUGCAAUGUUUAGUUGAUUUUGGAGAAUUUGUUAGUUUUACUUUGUUCUAUAUAGCUGUUCAAUUCUGCCUUAGGGCCAAAGUUCAAAAUGUGAAGUUGUUUGUCUUCUUCAGUUUUAUUGGUGAAUUCACAUGCCUAAAAAGAAAUUGGGUCUUCUGAGGGUGAAAAGUCCAAUCAGUUGUUCAACUGGAUGGGUAGGAGCCCAAGGGGUAUUUGGGAAACUUCGGGUGCAAGGUCUAUCAGUAGGUCAAUACAGGGUGUUGAUAGGGUAGUUUAAAAAUAGAAUAUAGGGGAAUCUUUAGUGUAACUAAUUUAUAAGCUUCUGGUAGGGGUUUUGUGUUAAAUUUUAACUUGAAUUGAUCCACAAGUCAUAAUUUAGGACCGACUAGCAAAAAAGAAAAGCUAAAAAAAGGAUAGAUUGGCAAAAUAAAUUCUUGGGGGAUGCCCUAGUAACUCUCCUAUAAAGGUAAAUGUUACUUGCAGCUCAAGGCCGAGAUUAGACCUAGAGAAUUUAAGAGCUAAGAAUACAAACAAUACAGUCAGUUAGAAUUUGGAAAGAAAAACACUGUUAUUUGAAAUUCUUCUCUGAUUCCUAAUGUUCUCAACCUCUGAAGUACUAGUAAUUGAUUAGGAGCUUUAACAAAUGAUUUGAAUUAGAAAAGGGGGAUGAAAAUCCCAAAACUCAAACAGCUGACUAUUUCUUUUACUAUUUCAUUGAUCACUGUUCAAUCUCUGGAUAACAUUUUGGGGUAUGAAAUAGAUUGAAAUCGAGUGUGUAAAAACUGGUUUAAAAUUUGCUUGUUUGCCAAUCAUUUGAAUUGGUUACUCUAGGCUAUGAAGCAUCGCCUAUAGGUUUAAAGUCUAUCUUGCUAGCUGUGUUAUUACUGAUUCUCAGUGUUUGCUACUGGUGACUCUUCACCCUAUUUUCUUUCUUAUUUCCAGGUAUACUUCGAUCCUCAGAGAUUACAUUUAAACAUGUAAAUUGAAGCAUCAUCUAAGAAGGAAAUAAACAUGGCAGUAUUUGUGGAUUUGAUUUGUUCUGCGUGUAUUUCUCUUCUAGUUAUUUUAUAGUUGUAAAGCUUGAAUUUAUGUAUUCUCCAAAGGAGGUUAUUAGUUAGUUUGAUCAUGCAAAGUUCUGUAGUAAUCUCUUUCUGAUUUGGGACUGUAUUGGACCGUCUGUUAAAAGAGAAGUAAUGUUCUGGGUACAUAUACAUGUUUACGGAUUUUGGGUGAUUGUACGAACUGUGGGAAUUAGGUGGUUGAGGGACUCCAUC
rnacentral:lncRNA from 1 species